GUUCACGCACAAGGAGUUUGAGCAGCUGGCCCCCGUGCUGGAUGGUUUCAGCCUCAUGACCUACGACUACUCUACAGCGCAUCAGCCUGGCCCUAAUGCACCCCUGUCCUGGGUUCGAGCCUGCGUCCAGGUCCUGGACCCCAAGUCCAAGUGGCGAAGCAAAAUCCUCCUGGGGCUCAACUUCUAUGGUAUGGACUACGCGACCUCCAAGGAUGCCCGUGAGCCUGUUGUCGGGGCCAGGUGAGCCAAGGGCUCUCCCUGCCGUGCUGAAGGUGUCACUGGGUGCGGGUGGGUGUGGGUGUAAGGAGACAGAGUGAUGGGGAGGGUCCCGGUCCCCUGGGGCUUGUGCCCCACAGAGUCAGAGAUAGGGGCUGGGCCAGGAGCCGGUCCUGCUCGGUGCCCACCCCA
rnacentral:sRNA from 1 species